GAUGAACGCUGGCGGCGUGCCUAAUACAUGCAAGUCGAGCGAACGGACGAGAAGCUUGCUUCUCUGAUGUUAGCGGCGGACGGGUGAUUAACACGUGGAUAACCGACCUAUAAGACUGGGAUAACUUCGUGAAACCGGAGCUAAUACCGGAUAAUAUUUUGAACCGCAUGGUUCAAAAGUGAAAGACGGUCUUGCUGUCACUUAUAGAUGGAUCCGCGCUGCAUUAGCUAGUUGGUAAGGUAACGGCUUACCAAGGCAACGAUGCAUAGCCGACCUGAGAGCGUGAUCGGCCACACUGGAACUGAGACACGGUCCAGACUCCUACGGGAGGCAGCCGUAGGGACUACUCCGCACUGGGCGAAAGCCUGACGCAGCAACGCCGAGUGAGUGAUGAAGGUCUUCGGAUCGUAAAACUAUGUUAUUAGGGAAGAACAUAUGUGUAAGUAACUGUGCACAUCUUGACGGUACCUAAUCAGACAGCCACGGCUAACUACGUG
rnacentral:rRNA from 1 species